rnacentral:rRNA from 1 species
AACGAACGCUGGCGGCAUGCCUAACACAUGCAAGUCGAACGAGACCUUCGGGUCUAGUGGCGCACGUGUGCGUAACGCGUGGGAACCUGCCCUUAGGUUCGGAAUAACUCCCCGAAAGGGGUGCUAAUACCGGAUAAUGUCUUCGGACCAAAGAUUUAUCGCCUUUGGAUGGGCCCGCGUUGGAUUAGCUAGUUGGUAGGGUAAAAGCCUACCAAGGCGACGAUCCAUAGCUGGUCUGAGAGGAUGAUCAGCCACACUGGGACUGAGACAUGGCCCAGACUCCUACGGGAGGCAGCAGUGGGGAAUAUUGGACAAUGGGCGAAAGCCUGAUCCAGCAAUGCCGCGUGAGUGAUGAAGGCCUUAGGGUUGUAAAGCUCUUUUACCCGGGAUGAUAAUGACAGUACCGGGAGAAUAAGCUCCGGCUAACUCCGUG